AUUGAACGCUGGCGGCAUGCCUUACACAUGCAAGUCGAACGGUAACAGGUCUUCGGAUGCUGACGAGUGGCGAACGGGUGAGUAAUACAUCGGAACGUGCCUAGUAGUGGGGGAUAACUACUCGAAAGAGUGGCUAAUACCGCAUGAGAUCUACGGAUGAAAGCAGGGGAUCGCAAGACCUUGUGCUACUAGAGCGGCCGAUGGCAGAUUAGGUAGUUGGUGGGAUAAAAGCUUACCAAGCCGACGAUCUGUAGCUGGUCUGAGAGGACGAUCAGCCACACUGGGACUGAGAGACGGCCCAGACUCCUACGGGAGGCAGCAGUGGGGAAUUUUGGACAAUGGGCGAAAGCCUGAUCCAGCAAUGCCGCGUGCAGGAUGAAGGCCUUCGGGUUGUAAACUGCUUUUGUACGGAACGAAAAGCCCCGGGUUAAUACCCUGGGGUCAUGACGGUACCGUAAGAAUAAGCACCGGCUAACUACGUGCCAGCAGCCGCCGUAA
rnacentral:rRNA from 1 species